rnacentral:rRNA from 1 species
AGUGAACGCUGGCGGUAGGCCUAACACAUGCAAGUCGAACGGCAGCACAGGAGAGCUUGCUCUCUAGGUGGCGAGUGGCGGACGGGUGAGGAAUACAUCGGAAUCUGCCCAGUCGUGGGGGAUAACGUAGGGAAACUUACGCUAAUACCGCAUACGACCUUCGGGUGAAAGAGGGGGAUCGCAAGACCUCUCGCGAUUGGAUGAGCCGAUGUCGGAUUAGCUAGUUAGCGGGGUAAUGGCCCACCAAGGCGACGAUCCGUAGCUGGUCUGAGAGGAUGAUCAGCCACACUGGAACUGAGACACGGUCCAGAGUCCUACGGGAGGCAGCAGUGGGGAAUAUUGGACAAUGGGCGCAAGCCUGAUCCAGCCAUACCGCGUGGGUGAAGAAGGCCUUCGGGUUGUAAAGCCCUUUUGUUGGGAAAGAAAUCUUUCAGGCUAAUACCCUGGGAGGAUGACGGUACCCAAAGAAUAAGCACCGGCUAACUUCGUG